CAGAGACCUGGGACAAGAACAGAGACUUGAGUUCAUUCUCACUUCCACAUUCAUCGUCUCAGGUUUGGACAAGUCCAUUGUCUUGUAAAGGUUGGACAUGUCAAAUCCCGAGGGUUCGUCCUCUGAGGACCAUCAACAUCCUGAAGUACAUGAACCUACAGAGGCCGAGCAGCGCUGCCACCAUGAGGACAGAGGCGGAGAGACGAGAAAAGUCCUGAGGCAGAUCUGAUCUGAGCUGGAAUCCACGUCCUCCAGGACUUAAUGACAAGUCCUCGCUCAUAAUCAGGCCAACAAACCCUCAAGUUUGUCCCAGUUUAGGAGACACUCAGUCCCAGAGUGUCUCAUUAUCAUUAUGACCCCUCCCCCUUUCUCCUCAGAGGAAAUGGCCCUGCUCAUUUCCACAGAAGUAAAUUACAGAGGAGCGUCGUCCUCGUCUUUCACAACAUUCUCGUCCUAUCAGCAAAUCUGUCAACAAACCUGUGGGAAAAGACGUUAUCGAUGAAUUAAAGCUCGUCUUCCACAGAGUCAUCUCUCAAUAUCACGUUCAUCUAACGACGAAUUCUCCCUCUAACUUCUGCUGAAAGACAGAGUCUCAUCCUGGACAGGUGAGCGUCCAUCACAGGACACGUGGAGAGACACAGACACAGUCCGUGAUGGAAGCUGCUGUUUUUUUACUUCCUGCUCUGACAGAGUGUCGUCACAGCAACAACGUCAACAAACUGUAGAUCGUGAAAACAUUCACGUUUAACAAUGAGGGAACCGUCGUCACCACGUUUUCACUUCAGUGACGGUGUCACCAUCACGAGCAACGUCACGAGGACUCUCUCCGUGUCGUCGUUACAGUUCUGAGGAACGAUCACAGCAGGGUCAGAGGAAUGUGCUGCAGACUGUGGAAACACCGUGACUGAUGGAAGAGGACUCAUGUGAGACGACAAGAUGGAGGCAGAUGAUCCGCUGUGGCGCCCCCUGAAGGGAGAACCUGGAAGAAGAUUUGGAGACAGGAGGAAGAGGAGGAAGAGGAGGAGGAAAAACAACAACCUUUUGAAAAGGCUAAAAGAUUCUUUUCCUAACUCAUCACCACCUCUCAUUCUCCUCAGCGGCCAUGUUUGUUUGGGUCAGUGGGCGGAGUCAGAUGCAGGAAUCCUCAGCGCUGACAGAGUUCACUGAGUUGAGUUCCCUCACCGUUAAAUAACAGCUGUGACCUAGAUCUGCUCGCUGGGAAACUCCGCCCCCCCCAGCUCUGAUGUCACCUUUGCUCUCACGGUUCCCUCCGACCAAUCACAGCGGCCGGAGACGUGGACAUGACGGGACAACACAGAAAAACAGGAACCGAGAAGAAGAUGAUGAAGA